GACGAACGCUGGCGGCGUGCCUAAUACAUGCAAGUAGAACGCUGAAGAGAGGAGCUUGCUCUUCUUGGAUGAGUUGCGAACGGGUGAGUAACGCGUAGGUAACCUGCCUUGUAGCGGGGGAUAACUAUUGGAAACGAUAGCUAAUACCGCAUAGCAAUGGAUGACACAUGUCAUUUAUUUGAAAGGGGCAAUUGCUCCACUACAAGAUGGACCUGCGUUGUAUUAGCUAGUAGGUGAGGUAAUGGCUCACCUAGGCGACGAUACAUAGCCGACCUGAGAGGGUGAUCGGCCACCCUGGGACUGGGACACGGCCCAGACUCCUACGGGAGGCAGCAGUAGGGGAUCUUCGGCAAUGGGGGCAACCCUGACCGAGCAACGCCGCGGGAGUGAAGAAGGUUUUCGGAUCGUAAAGCUCUGUUGUAAGUCAAGAACGGGUGUGAGAGUGGAAAGUUCACACUGUGACGGUAGCUUACCAGAAAGGGACGGCUAACUACGUG
rnacentral:rRNA from 1 species